CCUUAUUAGUGCAUUGGUUCCAUAUGCAUAUCUAUGAGAAAGCAAAAUUGUAACAUUGGGAACAAAUGAAAAGUUAAACAAAAUUCUCCAUAUAAACUACAGUCACUGACAUAUAAACUACAGUCCAAAGCUGACAGACAACAUUCCACAUAAUGUUAUAGGGACGUGGAGAAAUGACUCCUCCCUCUCGAAGGCAAUCUUUGCAGCUUCAAACCGUGCACAGUGACAUUCUUUUAAAAAAAAUUCAGAGUUAAAAGAACAACGAUUUAUCAUUGUUUACUAUAUAUCAAAAACACAGCCAUUACCAAAGCCACAGAAAACCUUCACUUACACAUUUUUAUUUUCUGCAUUCUAGCCCACACCUUGGAAACUGAAUCCCUUUCCUUCAUCGAGAGUUUCCAAAGACUUUACACUUUGGAUAUAUUAUGCCUGAUCUAACAAUAAAACAAUGCAUAGAUAUCUCCCCACCAAAAUGUCUAUCUCAAUUAAUUUGGAGUUUACGAGGUUCUUGGCACAGUUCCUGACACGAAGUGAUUACUCAGUAAAUGUCACCCUCCUCACCCCUAUGUCUCCAUGAACCCAGGAAAUAGCAGGUGCUUCUCCUCCGGUAGCUGUGCAGUAAAUGUUGAUUGAUUUACUAACUGAUGACAGAAAACAAUUUCAAAAAUUAUACUUCUUUACCAUUCAGCAAUCUUAACCUCAACAAUGUAUGGAAAGAAAAACAUUGACGGUGAGGGUAAAAGCAGGUCAUGACAAUCCACUCAUGCUUCUACUACAGCUACCAUCCUAAAGGCUUGCUGGACAUUUCCAGGGUCCAGAGAGAUCACUAAUAGCAACAAUAAGAGCUUAAGAGUAAUCUAAGCAUGUUAAUUGCACUAACGGCCUCAAUUCUUCAUGGUUCCCUUUACUUACAGUCUGUGUACACUGCAGUUACUUCUGCAAAAGGGAUAGAGCCUAUUUCCCCAUUCUUUGGCCAUGGGGCUUGCUUGGAGCCACAGAAAUGAGGGGGAAGUUCCAGGGCCUGUUCUGAGCUUAGGUCUCAGGAGAGCUUGCAUGCGCUUGUCAUGGCCAUGCAAGGACCAUGCCUCCAAGUCCCAGGAGGCAGAGAAGGAGAGAUGCAUGGAGCAGCCCUGCUCAGAAAAGAUGCCCCUGGCAAGGCCACUGCCCAGGCAGAAGCAAGCAAGCCAGUGAGCUGACACACAGUGAGGCACACC
rnacentral:lncRNA from 10 species